rnacentral:rRNA from 1 species
ACCUUCGGGUCUAGUGGCGCACGGGUGCUAACGCGUGGGAAUCUGCCCUUCGGUUCGGAAUAACAGUUAGAAAUGACUGCUAAUACCGGAUAAUGACGUAAGNCAAAGAUUUAUCGCCGAGGGAUGAGCCCGCGUAGGAUUAGCUUGUUGGUGGGGUAAUGGCCUACCAAGGCGACGAUCCUUAGCUGGUCUGAGAGGAUGAUCAGCCACACUGGGACUGAGACACGGCCCAGACUCCUACGGGAGGCACCAGUGGGGAAUAUUGGACAAUGGGCGAAACGUGAUCCAGCAAUGCCGCGUGAGUGAUGAAGGCCUUAGGUUGUAAGCUCUUUNACCAGGAUGAUAAUGACAGUACGUAGAUA